rnacentral:rRNA from 1 species
CCUACGGGGGGCAGCAGUGGGGAAUAUUGGACAAUGGGCGAAAGCCUGAUCCAGCCAUGCCGCGUGUGUGAAGAAGGCCUUCGGGUUGUAAAGCACUUUCAGUGGGGAAGAAAGCCUUGGGGCUAAUACCCUCGAGGAAGGACAUCACCCACAGAAGAAGCACCGGCUAACUCCGUGCCAGCAGCCGCGGUAAUACGGAGGGUGCGAGCGUUAAUCGGAAUUACUGGGCGUAAAGCGCGCGUAGGCGGCCUGAUAAGCCGGUUGUGAAAGCCCCGGGCUCAACCUGGGAACGGCAUCCGGAACUGUCAGGCUAGAGUGCAGGAGAGGAAGGUAGAAUUCCCGGUGUAGCGGUGAAAUGCGUAGAGAUCGGGAGGAAUACCAGUGGCGAAGGCGGCCUUCUGGACUGACACUGACGCUGAGGUGCGAAAGCGUGGGUAGCAAACAGGAUUAGAUACCCCAGUAGUC